UGUGUUUGGGGUCUAUCCUUUAACCAGGUGAAAGAAAGAAACAUAGAACACUUGUACCCACAUAUAGACUUAGGAAUCAUCAGCAACCUGAGUGUAAUUGUGAAGAAAUCCCUGUGUAGAAAUUCAGGCAAACUUGAGGUUGGAUUCGCAUGGCACAGCUGGAAGUAGAGAUUAGAGAAAACUCACAUAGUUCAUGGUUACAGGCAUAAGAAAUUGACCAAAUCAUUCCUUGAU
rnacentral:lncRNA from 1 species